UACAGAGGGGGCUAGCGUUGUCCGAAGUUACUGGGCGUAAAGCGCGCGUAGGCGGGUUGGUAAGUCCGCUGUGAAAGCCCGGAGCUCAACUCCGGAGGGUCGGUGGAUACUGCCAGUCUUGAAGGUGCUAGGGGGAGAUGGAAUUACCGGUGUAGCGGUGAAAUGCGUAGAUAUCGGUAGGAACACCAGUGGCGAAGGCGGUCUCCUGGGGCAUUCUUGACGCUGAGGCGCGAAAGCUGGGGGAGCGAACGGG
rnacentral:rRNA from 1 species